rnacentral:rRNA from 1 species
CCUACGGGUGGCAGCAGUGGGGAAUAUUGGACAAUGGGCGAAAGCCUGAUCCAGCCAUGCCGCGUGUGUGAAGAAGGCCUUCGGGUUGUAAAGCACUUUCAGUGGGGAAGAAAGCCUUGGGGCUAAUACCCUCGAGGAAGGACAUCACCCACAGAAGAAGCACCGGCUAACUCCGUGCCAGCAGCCGCGGUAAUACGGAGGGUGCGAGCGUUAAUCGGAAUUACUGGGCGUAAAGCGCGCGUAGGCGGUCUGAUAAGCCGGUUGUGAAAGCCCCGGGCUCAACCUGGGAACGGCAUCCGGAACUGUCAGGCUAGAGUGCAGGAGAGGAAGGUAGAAUUCCCGGUGUAGCGGUGAAAUGCGUAGAGAUCGGGAGGAAUACCAGUGGCGAAGGCGGCCUUCUGGACUGACACUGACGCUGAGGUGCGAAAGCGUGGGUAGCAAACAGGAUUAGCUACCCUGGUAGUC